GCGGGUGAUGCUCGCGCCGCGUAGCGACUGGCGCCUUCUCGUGACGACAAUCGGCGCGCGAACACGUAUCAUCUUUUUUUCAACUGGAAACUAUACGACUCCAGCGGUCCAACCCGACUUAAAUACCAAUAGGAAUUAACUGAUUUUUUUUUUCUAAUUCUUAUAAGAGUUCCAACUGAAGAUUAGUGUAGCUGCGAAUGUGAAUAUUAAAAAAAUUGGCGAAAUUUUUUAUGCCAAUAAAUUCGUCGCUGACAUCAAAUUUUAUAUUUAUAUAAAAUAAUUGGGAUUUUAUUUUUAAAUUACAAAAUUAAAAAUGUGAAAAAUUAAAUUAACAUGAAGUGACGAUUAGUGCUACAGUGUACGGAAUUUUUUUAAAAUAAAAAUGGCGCUAAAAUAGUGCUAAGGAAAAUACAAAUUUGAAGAAAGAAAUUGAAAAGCAAACAGCAAGACCAAAAACGUGAUAGUGUGUGCUAUUAUAUUCCAGUACAGAUAAAGGAUAAAUGCGGAACGGUCGAUGACAUGAGAUGUUUGUGAGUUCGUGAAGAGUUUGAAGAUGAAGAUGAAUUUGGAAGAUCUACGUCAUCGCUUCGAACAUAUUCUGGUGAAUACCACUAGCGAGGUAUAGAGUUCCUACGUAAUAUACAACUGUAGGAACUUCAUACCGUGCUCUUGGGUUUGCCAAUGAUCAACGUGUCUUCUAGAACAUUGUAGAAGAUGUGAAACUUUAGAAUAGAAACUAAUAGUAUGGUUUAUUUUAUUUUCAUAAAAAGUGUCAUUUCACUUUUAAAUAGUACUUUUCUAAUUUACUUUGUAUUGAGGUGUUUCAAGCGCCAGUGAUUUCAAAUGUGUUCAAAACAAAUCAUGCUUAAUAAAAAAUGUCAGGUGUUUUUGUGUAAUUUUUAUUGUAAGACAUGUAACUUAUGUAUGUGUAUGUGUGUGUCACUUUUUAAAAAAUAACCUAUUUAAUUAAACUUAC